ACCUUUCUAGUAUUAAGCCAGUACGAGUGACUUCCAAUCACCUGGUCUUGGUUAAAGUCCAAGGAAAGGUA
rnacentral:tRNA from 2 species